AUUGAACGCUGGCGGCAGGCCUAACACAUGCAAGUCGAGCGAGCGGCGGACGGGUGAGUAAUGUCUGGGAAACUGCCUGAUGGAGGGGGAUAACUACUGGAAACGGUAGCUAAUACCGCAUACCAUCAGAUGUGCCCAGAUGGGAUUAGCGAGUAGGUGGGUUAACGGCUCACCUAGGCGACGAUCCCUAGCUGGUCUGAGAGGAUGACCAGCCAGACGGGAACGGAGACACGGUCCAGACCCUACGGGGAGGCAGCAGUGGGGAAUAUUGCACAAUGGGCGCAAGCCUGAUGCAGCAAUGCCGCGUGUGUGAAGAAGGCCUCCGGGUUGUAAAGUACUUUCAGCGGGGAGGCGUUACCCGCAGAAGAAGCACCGGCUAACUCCGUGCCAGCAGCCGCGGUAAUUC
rnacentral:rRNA from 1 species